rnacentral:misc_RNA from 1 species
AACGCACAUUGCGCCUCUCUUUACCGGGAGGCAUGCCUGUCUGAGCGUCAUAUAAAACCAUAAACAAUUGUUUGUGUUGGGCCCUGCGCUGCUGUGCAUCGCCUGAAACUGAUUGGUCUUGUCUGUGGACGAGCUCCUUGUGGACUUACCAUGGCCGACCCCUUGAACAAUUGACCUCAGAUCAGGUAGGGAGACCGCCUGAACUUAA